rnacentral:tRNA from 1 species
GCGGGUGUAGUACAUCGGUAGUACGUGGGCUUCCCAAGCCUAUGAGGUGGGUUCGACUCCCAUCACUCGCUCCA